GAUGAACGCUGGCGGCGUGCCUAAUACAUGCAAGUCGAGCGAACAGACGAGGAGCUUGCUCCUCUGACGUUAGCGGCGGACGGGUGAGUAACACGUGGAUAACCUACCUAUAAGACUGGGAUAACUUCGGGAAACCGGAGCUAAUACCGGAUAAUAUAUUGAACCGCAUGGUUCAAUAGUGAAAGACGGUUUUGCUGUCACUUAUAGAUGGAUCCGCGCCGCAUUAGCUAGUUGGUAAGGUAACGGCUUACCAAGGCAACGAUGCGUAGCCGACGUGAGAGGGUGAUCGGCCACACGAGAACUGAGACACGGUCCAGACUCCUACGGGAGGCAGCAGUAGGGAAUCUUCCGCAAUGGGCGAAAGCCUGACGGAGCAACGCCGCGUGAGUGAUGAAGGUCUUCGGAUCGUAAAACUCUGUUAUUAGGGAAGAACAAAUGUGUAAGUAACUAUGCACGUCUUGACGGUACCUAAUCAGAAAGCCACGGCUAACUACGUG
rnacentral:rRNA from 1 species